rnacentral:rRNA from 1 species
UUGGGGUCCCGGUGAUGGUAGGCAAGCGUGUUAACAGGGGUGACGCAGACAGGUAGCUGCAGUGCGCCGAUGGUUGUGCGUAUUUAAGGUUGUGGCCCGCCUCCCAGGCAAAUCCGGGGGGCACUGUGGGUGAGAACUGAUGAGGGACACACGCGUGUGUGGACUUGUGGUGAUCCUAAGCUGCCGAGAAAAGCCUCGACGUGAGGGCAUGACGCGCCCGUACCCUAAACCGACUCAGGUGGUCAGGUAGAGUAUACCGAGGCGUUCGAGUGAAUCGUGGUUAAGGAACUCGGCAAAAUUCCUCCGUAACUUCGGGAUAAGGAGGACCCCGUGACUUCGGCUCAUCAUGCGUGGGUGUGGGGUUGUGGGGUCGCAGAGAAUAGGGAGAAGCGACUGUUUAUCAAAAACACAGGUGCGUGCGAAGCCGUAAGGCGAUGUAUACGCACUGACGCCUGCCCGGUGCUGGAAGGUUAAGAGGAACUGUCAACACCCCCCGGGGUGUGAAGCGGUGAAUUUAAGCCCCAGUAAACGGCGGUGGUAACUAUAACCAUCCUAAGGUAGCGAAAUUCCUUGUCGGGUAAGUUCCGACCUGCACGAAUGGCGUAACGACUUCUCCGCUGUCUCGACCGUGAACUCGGCGAAAUUGCAGUACGAGUAAAGAUGCUCGUUUCGCGCAGAAGGACGGAAAGACCCCGGGACCUUUACUAUAGCUUGGUAUUGGUGUUCGCUUGGACUUGUGUAGGAUAGGUGGGAGACUGUGAAGCUGCCGCGCCAGCGGUGGUGGAGUCGUCGUUGAAAUACCAUUCUGGUUCAAGCGGUCACCUCAACCUUGGCCCGUGAUCCGGGUUGGGGACAGUGCCUGGUGGGUAGUUUAACUGGGGCGGUUGCCUCCUAAAAUGUAACGGAGGCGCUCAAAGGUUCCCUCAGCCUGGUUGGUAAUCAGGUGGCGAGUGCAAGUGUACAAGGGAGCUUGACUGUGAGACCGACGGGUCGAGCAGGUGCGAAAGCAGGAACUAGUGAUCCGGCCAUGGCACGUGGGUGCGUGGUCGCUCAACGGAUAAAAGGUACCCCGGGGAUAACAGGCUGAUCUUGCCCAAGAG